ACCCCCAAGCUGCACAGUCUCCCCUCUGCCACAGGCAGGUGAGGAAGGGGGCAGCACCUCAGCUGAAGGGCACCAGGUCCAAGAGACACAGGGAGAUGCCUCCACAAUUCCCCGGGCUCUGUUGGGGAGCCAAGAACGGAACAUGCUGAGCCC